CGCCGAGCUUUGCCGGCCCAUCCUGCUCUAAAGCCCAGCUCCUCUACUGCUCGCCCGCGGGAGAGACGGAGGCUCACCCGGCAACUAUCCGCCGCCGCCAGUGCUUCACGGCCAUAGCAGAGCAUUAAAUGAUCGUAGAGGAAGCCAGCAUUAAGUGAUUUCCGCACAGCUGGUCAGAAAAGCAGCUGUCUGCCUUCUCAGUGCAGCAUGGCAUUUGGACUUGGUGCUUUUUGCCUGCUACUAUGGGCAAUAACAGGUUCCUAUUGCGAGCAGUGCAGAGAAGGAGCCACGUAUUCAAGUGCAGUAAUAUCUCCCAACUUAGAAACCACUAAAAUUAUGCGAGUUCCUCAUGCUGCAUCAGUGUCUGAAUGCAUCACGGCGUGUUGUGACCUCUCUGGUUGUGACUUAUCCUGGAUGUUUGAACGGCGCUGUUACGUUGUGAACUGCCAGCACAAAGAGAACUGCGAACCUAAAACAAUUGAGACGGUAAAGUCCUAUCUAACAUUUGUGCUGAGACCUUCUCAGAGGCCAGCCUCACUGCUGGGAUUUGGGCAGGUGAUCCCAAGCAUCGUGCACUCUGUGGGACGUCAGAAAGAGCCAUCUGAGGAAGUGUCUUUUCUUGGCAAAGAACUCAGCCUUGAGGAGAUACCUGAAUACAUAGAUGAUUAUAAAGAUUUGGAGCAGGACCCCUUUCAGGUGAGCCUCAGACACGAUCAGAAGGAGAGCACGGAUUAUGCUGACUGGGGCCUGAUGGUAGCAGGUGAAAAUGGCUUCAACACUUCAGUCAGCGACAAUGGAGAAAACCAGGAAGAGGAAGCUGGAAAGGUCGAAAGCCUUCUAAGUAAAAACGCAACUGAAUUGAGCUCUGUCAGUGAGCACUCCACAGAGAGGCUGUCUUCUCUCCCAGAGAUUACACCGUUCCCUGGGAAGACAUAUGAAAGCAGAGCAGCUGUUGAGAUGCUUACACAGCCUGCUGAUGCUUUGCAAGAAAAGGUUCCUUCUUAUUCCCCUCCAUCAGACAAACUGGAAUUCUCCCUAGAUGUGUCAAACAAAGCCCAGACUCCUACAGUGGCACCAGACAAUGUGACUGAACAUGGAAUCAUGCUGCUUUCCAGUAAUACUGUGCCAUCUGAACCCCUGCAGCAAUUUACACCUCCUGCUACGGCUGCCAAAGCAGAUACAGUAAAAGAACUUAUUGUGUCUGCUGGAGAUAACGUACAAGUGAUGCUACCCAAAAAUGAGGUUGAACUGAAUGCUUUUGUUGUCCCACCACCACCAACAGAAACAUCCUAUAACUAUGAGUGGAGAUUAAUUAGUCACCCUGCUGACUAUGGUGGUGAAAUGGAGCGCAGGUACACCCGGACACUGAAGCUCUCUCAUCUGUCGGUGGGACUUUACGCCUUCAAAGUGACAGUUUCUGGUGAAAAUGCCUUUGGCGAAGGUUUUGUAAAUGUCACUGUCAAACCAGCAAUCAGAAUUAACCAGCCACCUGUUGCUGUUGCUUCACCCAAAGUACAAGAAGUUUCUUUGCCUACAACUUCUACCUUCAUUGAUGGCAGUCAAAGUACAGAUGAUAUGAAGAUCGUGAGUUACCACUGGGAAGAAAUUAAAGGUCCUUUGCGGGAGCAGAAAGCAUCUGCUGACACACCUGUCUUGCACUUGUCUAACCUUGUUGUUGGAAAUUACACUUUCAGACUCACUGUGAUUGAUUCAGAUGGAGCAGCCAACUCCACAAUUGCGUCUCUGAGUGUCAACAAACCAGUGGAUUACCCACCUAUUGCAAAUGCAGGACCUAAUCAGGCAGUCACUUUGCCCCAGAACUUCAUCACGUUGAAUGGAAACCAGAGCAGUGAUGACCAUGAAAUUGUCAGCUAUGAGUGGUCACUCAGUCCCAGAAGCAAAGACAAGGUUGUAGCAAUGCAGGGAGUGCGGACUCCAUACCUCCAGCUAUCUGCAAUGCAGGAAGGAGAUUAUACCUUUCAGCUCACAGUCACAGAUUCAGCAAGGCAGCAGUCCACUGCUGAGGUCACUCUGAUAGUACAGCCUGAAAAUAACAGCCCUCCAGUAGCAGUGGCUGGCCCUGACAAGGAAUUGACGUUCCCAGUAGAAAGUACUACACUGGAUGGAAGCAGAAGCCAAGAUGACCAAGGCAUUGUCCUCUAUCAUUGGGAAAAUAUCAGUGGGCCAAGCUACGUGCAGAUGGAAAAUGGUGACAAAGCAAUAGCAACUGUGUCUGGUCUUCAGGUUGGCACCUAUCGCUUCAGACUGACAGUUAAAGACCAGCAGGGGUUAAGCAGUGCAUGUGUGCUGUCUAUUACUGUGAAGGAAGAAAACAACAGUCCACCCCAGGCACAUGCUGGUGGGAAGCAUGUUCUGGUGCUUCCCAAUAACUCUGUUACCUUGGAUGGCUCAAGAUCUGCUGAUGACCAAGGGAUUGUGUCAUAUCUGUGGAUUCGGGAUGGUCAAAGCCCAGCAGCAGGGGAUGUGAUCCUUGGCUCAGACCAUGAAGCAGUAUUGCAGCUAACAAAUCUGGUGGAAGGAAUCUAUAUUUUUCACUUGCAAGUGACAGAUGCCAAAGGAGAUUCAGAUAUUGACUCUGCUACUGUUGAAGUGCGGCCUGAUCCCAAAAAGAGUGGUCUGGUGGAGCUGAUUCUGCAAGUUGAGGUGGGACAGCUGAGUGAACAGCAGAAGGACACACUGGUGAGACAACUAGCUGUAUUGCUGAAUGUCUUGGAUUCAGAUAUCAAAGUUCAGAAGAUACAAGCAUUCUCAGAUAUAAGCACUGCAGUUGUGUUUUACGUGCAGAAUGGGCAUCCUUCCAAGGUGAUCAAGGCAUCAGAUGUGUCUCGAACUCUGCACGUGCAGCUUCUGAAAGAGAAGGCUGACUUUCUGCUUUUUAAAGUCCUGCGAGUUGACACAGCUGCAUGUCUUUUAAAAUGCUCUGGACAUGGGCAUUGUGAUCCUAUAACAAAGCGCUGUAUUUGCUACCAGCUGUGGAUGGAAAACUUAAUUAAUCGUUAUCUAAAUGAUGGCGAGAGUAACUGUGAGUGGAGUAUACUCUAUGUGACUCUGUCUGCUUUCAUUACGAUUGUGAUCUUGAUAGGGCUUGCCUGGUUCUGCAUCUGCUGCUGUAAAAGCAGAAAGAGGACUAAGAUAAGAAAGAAAACAAAAUAUACCAUCCUAGAUAAUAUAGAUGAGCAGGAAAGAAUGGAGCUACGACCCAAAUAUGGCAUAAAACACAGAAGUACAGAACACAACUCCAGCCUGAUGGUUUCUGAAUCAGAGUUUGACAGUGAUCAGGACACUAUCUUCAGUCGAGAAAGGAUUGAAAGAGAGAAUCCUAAAACCCUUAUGAACGGAUCAAUCAGAAAUGGUGUUUCCUUCAACUACAGCUCCAAAGACAGAUAACUGAAUGAGGGUAAAAGCACAGAACACACUGGCCCAACGCAUCUAAAACGUGUUGACUAGCCUCUGAUUUUCUAAAUCAAAAACUUCCUAAAGUGUCAACUAAUUGCAGGUGAAAGGAUAAAUUUCUAGAAGAAAAACAGUGGGUAGAAAGGGAGAAGAAAAUAUGUAGUCAGCUAACUCCUAUUGUUACUGCUAGAGAAACAUGGAAAAGCACAUAAUAUUUCCUGCAUGUUCCAUGCUGAUGUUUAUCUGAAAUUCAGAAGGCCAUUUUUCUUGUAUUGUACUACAAAAUUAGCCAGGGUCAUUAUGCUACUAACAAUAGAUGGUAAUUGAGAUACAUAUAAAUUGAUGUCCUGUACUCCUGUCUUUUUCUCAGAGGAGCCAUGUGAUUAUGAAACUGACUUAAAACAGCAAGAACCAAUAUGCAGUAUUUCCAUUCCUGCUGUAGAGAGCAAUAUGUUACUGCAGGCUCCAUUGUCAGGUUAGGUCAGGAACACAGAGAGGGAGCAUUUGUAAUGCACUGUGUUUUUCUGACUGUGCUUUGUGACUACCUUUUCUAGUGUAGUGAUCAUCAGCUGAAAAUACCUUUGCUUUUAAAGGAAGUUUACAAUUUUCUAGUUGCACUUAGCUGUAAAGUGAUGUGAUACAUCUUUGUGUUGUAGGAUGCAAUGUUCUCUGUAUUUACAUGUGUAUGGUGGCUCAGUGUGGUGUCUGCAGGGAAGUCCAACCUUAGGUUGCUUCUUUGUAAACCUUUACCUUUGUAAAGACAAAGGCACUUCUGCUUUUCCUUGGGUUUGCUAGGCUUUAAAGCCACGUCCCCAGUACUGUUCUUGAAAUCACACAUGGAAGGUCUGGCUUUUGUACAAAAGCCUCACUAGUGGGGGCAUAGGAAUCUGUGGCACUGGUCUGGCAAUGAUGCCAGCCUUUCCUAUGGGUUCUUUGCUGACAUGUUGGAAGCCUUAGGCUGAGCUAGUAUGUUGUAAUGCAGAAGAAUUCCCCUUGGCAGCACUUUGGACAGGUUUUUUUGCUUGGUGUUUUUUUGUGUGUUGGUUGGUUGGUAGUUGGUUUUUCGGGGGUUGGACUCAAUGAUCUCUAAAGGUCUCUUUCAACCCCUACGAUUCUGUGAUUUACUGUAAUCUGACGGUGGAAAAUCCAUUAAUGGAGAGGGGUAGAACAGCAUAGAGAUCAUGAGGGGCAGAUCAGAAGGGGCACAGAGAGAACAUACCUCACCCCUGUAACGAAGAAUAGCGUGGUGGAGAAUUUCUGGAGCUUUCUCCACUCCUUCAUAGAAUUCUGACACAAAAGAUUGGUUGGGUUGAACGCUGGCUCCCAUGAUUGCAUGGUCUCACACAUUUGACUUGUUGUUUUAAUAGCAGAAGUCUACGACGGUAGCAGUACCAUGCUGAGGACCUGUGCCCAUUCCUGCAUUUCUGUGGAGACCUGAGUGUGGUCUCAGGUAUCAUAGAGGAUAGGCAGAGAUGGACUAAAAAGGGUUAAUGCAAGUUUUUCUUUUCUGUGUUUUUCCCCUUUCCUCCAACAGAUGGAAAAUCAAUUGUCUGAUUUGCUUUCUUUAGAAGCCAAGUUUUAACUGUAUAUGGGUUUUAGGAUAUUUAUUGAAAUGAAUCUGCUUUCUCGUCCUUCCCCUUUUGGACUGUAUUUGUAUAUUUAAUUAGUUACAGAAUCAUGCAAUGGCUUGGGAUGGUAGGAACCUUAAAAAUGAUAUAGUUUCAACCCUCCCUACCAUGUGCAAGCUUCAAACUCGCUAAACUAGGUCUUAGAUGAGGCUGCCCGUGUCACCAUUCAACACCAUUCAACCUGGCCUUGAACACCUCCAGGGCUGGGGCAUUCACUGCUUCUCUGAACAACUUGUUCCAAUGCCUCAUCAUCCUCUGAGGGAAAAUUUUCCAUCUAGUAUCUAACGUAAAUCUCCUCUCUUUUAGUUUAAAAUCAUUCCAUCUUGUCCUUCACUGUCAGACUGUGUGAAGUGUCUGUCUCCCUCCUGAUCAUAAACUCCUUUAAGUACUGGAAGACCACAACGAGGUCUCACAGUGGACUUGCUUGAACAGCUUUGUGUCUUUCUUGUGCUGGUGGCAUCAUACCUGGAUCAGUACUCCAGAUGAGACCUCACAUGGGCAAAGUAAGGGGGAACAAUCAUGUCCUUUGCCCUGCUGGCUACCCCUCUUUUGGUGAAGAUUACAGUUGGCCCUGCAGACUGCAGGCACGCGCUAUCGGCUCAACACAUUUUGUCCACUUUUUGUCCACCAGGACACUCACACCCUUCUCCACAGGGCUGCUCUCAGUGUGUUGUUCUCCCAGUGUGCACAGAUCUGGGAUUGCCCUGACACAGGUACAGUACUGUAGAGUUGCUUUGUUGAACUUCGUUAGGUCCAUGUGGGCUUAUAUGGGCUUAUGUGGGUUAUAUCCAGUUUGUCAUUCACCAGCACCCCAUCCUCUGCAAGGCUGUUCUCAAACAGUUCUUUGCCCAGUCUGUACUAUACCAGGGAAUGUCCUGAACCAGGUGCAGAGUCUUGCACCUGACCUUGUUCAACAUUAUGAGGUUCAUAUGGGCCCACUUUGCAAGUAGGCCACUGUCACCUUUACAGACUUGAAUUGCCUGAUGUGAACCUCAUGGAGUUUUCUCUGCUUGGCAUUCUUUGUAUCAAAUGCAUAACUCAGCUUUAUGUAAUCCACAGAAUGCUGAGGGUGCACUCAGUCCCAUUGACAGUGAUAUUGAACAGCAUUGUUUGAGGUAUGGACCCUUGAGAGACGCUGCACAUUUCAGUUUCCAGACAUUGAGCUGUUGGUUGUACCUGUAGAUGUGGUCAUCCAGCCAGUUCCUAAUCCAUCUAAUAGUUCGUCCAUCAAUUCCAUAUCUCUCCAGUUUAGAGGCAAGAACAUUUUGAGAUGCUGUUGUCAGUGGUGUUACAGAAUUCUAGGUACAUUACAUCAAUUGCUUUUCUGUUGUCUUCUGAUAUCUGCUCCAUUGUAGGUCAGUGGAUUAAUCAAACACGUUUUGCCUUUGGUGUUGCCAUACUGACUAUCUCUGAACGCCUCCCUGUCUUCCAUGUGCUUUCAUGUAAUUUCCAGGAUAAUUUAUUCCAUCUGAUUUUAUCAGGCAAGUAGAGUCAAGUAGGACAUUGCUUUGCCUUUAGGCAGGACUGUCUCUUCUCCUGGUACACAAUACCAUGCAUCAAUCUCCAGCUCACAUUCCCAAACACUGUGCCUGUUGAACUCCUCUGGUAGCGUAGCUACUUGUGUAGCUAUGCUAUCUACCCACUACUGCUUCAUGUACUGCAGCAACUCCCGUAUAGCAGGGCUCCAUGCAUCAUAAGGUCUGGACAGGUAUUUUAGUCCCUGGGAGAUCUGUUUGGAUGGAGAUGGAAGCACUACAGUCUACCUGUGCUGAUAUUUGUGUUUCAGCUACAGCCUUACUGUGCUUUUUUUUCUUUCAGUGGGUCACAGUCUCCCGUACAAGUUCAAACUUUUGAUGAAACAGUUUCUUCCAUUUUCUUUAGUAACAUUUUCAUAAGCUGAAGGCCAUCAAUUUCAUCCGUUCCAACAUCCUUCUUUGUGUUUCUUCUGUAGGAACUGGGAAGCUGAAUAUUUGGCUGCAGUAGAUUUGAUCUCCCUGUCAGAUGCUGAGGUCCAGGGCUUGAUACUACAUGCAGGCCUCUCACAUACCGCAGGAAUGCAUUCUUCUUACAGUAAGAAGACUCAACAGGACAAACUUCAGCCAAUCCUUAGCGUUGUGCUGUGUAUUGUCUGCUCUCCAGCUUUUUCUUCCACAGCAUCUUUCCAUUACUGCUUGUGCUAAGUCUCUGCAGCCUGCCUUUAUCAGUGAACUUACUGUUUAGCACAUGUCACUGCAGUCAGCACCCUUCAGUUUUUGUCAAGUCUGUCACGUGGGUGUUUGGGGGUUUAUUUUACAUUUUUCAAGCCUGGUGCUGCAGGGUAGCAGAUGGUUCUUUCAAGUACUCUAGUAAAACAGCAAAUCAGAAACCUGUUCUUACCAAUGCUACAGAAUUCCCUGGGCUGUUUCUCCCACACACACACACUUGCUGUGGGUGCUGACCUUGAGAUCAGUGGCAAGCCUUUGCACCGUGAGAUCAUCUGCAUGAUUUGGCUGAAAAUUUCUCCCUGUAACAAGUGAGAAACUGGUCUAAUGCUUCUUAUUGCCCAAAGCCUUCCCAAAUGGAAGAUGCUUACAGAAUGCUGUCCCCUAGGUAACACUUUGACAUCUUCAUUGUAUUUUAUUUGCAUUUUGAAAGCUGUUUUUUGAAGAGGCCUCUAAUUCUAAUGGUGUAACUGUUCCAUGUCCUCGGAAGAAGAAGUAAUUCUUCGUUCAUAGUACGAGGCUUGCUAUUAACACAAACCUGCACCAAGAUUUUAAAUUAAUAUUUCUGGCUCUGUGAAUUUGAGGUAUGACAUGUAUCAUUUGCUCAAGCACAGUUUUGUCAGGAAAUAAGAAGUGAGCGUAGCAAGGCUUUUAUUUCAGUUCAGUCACAUUUUUGUUUCUAGAAAAACUGCUUUACUGGUGCAUGUUGAGGUGGAAUGAAAGAGAAGAAUAGCCAACUGUUAAGGUAUAAACACAAUGGCUGAAUUUAGGACUGCUGAUAGCUUUCUGAUUUGGAUUAUCAAUUACAUUUGGGUUUGAAGCAAGUACACAGUCCUCACAUUUACUUCCACACAGCUUUCCUCUGUACACAGAAAGCAUAUGGCAGCUUCCUUGUGAAAUAGGGAUGGAGGUUUUCCCACCAGUCUUCUCUGCUCUUCUAAGGUACAGCUUUGCCAUGUACAGCUCUAAGUCCAUUGGAAAGAAAUGCACAGCUUGGCACUGGUAAGAUGCUCUGUUGGAACACAAGCAGCGUGCCAACACUUGGAGUUCAUCAUAGCUUUGGUGACCUUGGUGGGGUACUUUCUGUACUUUGGACUUGAUACUCAAGUUGGGCUAAGAGAGACAUUGUGUAUAGCAUAGCUGAAGUCUACUCAAGAAAGCAGCACAAUAUCUGAUCCCUUGGCUUGUUAUUGACAAAAGCAGAAAGGUAUCUUACGCAGGGAGGGAGCAUAAUUCAGUAUAUUAGGGAGCAGGAAAAGCUGUUUUACUUCGACUUACAGAAUUUCCUGCUUUUCCUUGGGUUAAUUGCCUGUGCAACCUUCUCAGUAUCAUUUUUAAACCUUUUGCUUUAAGAUAGAGCCUCGUAUAAGCAGCAGGGCUGACAAAGGACAAAAAGUUAUCCUUAAGUCUGCACCAGCUGCAGAGAUCCAGCUACUUCAAUGCCAAGUCACGAGGAGAUGCUUUUUAAUUGCAGGAUUGCCCAACUCCCAGUAACACCUGAAUGAACAAUGAGCUGAUAACAAUAAAAGCUGUUUUACUACAUGCCAAUUUACAUUCUGCAAAGCUUAUGAAAACAUAAAAUCAAUCGUAGAUGUCUUCAAAAAAAGUCUGCCAAGUAAAUGGACAGGCCACAGAACUCUAGCUAACUUAUGCACUUCAUUAAAUCCAAAGGUCAUGGUGACAAGGAAUGAAGGAGAACCAGCUAUUCUAAACAAAAUUAAAUGCUAGAUAUUGGUCAAACGUGAAAUAAAUCUUAGUAGCACUAAUUGUCUUUCUUCACUGCUACUAAUUGCUGUUACCAGGACCUGGAGCCACCUCACUUGCUGUGUUUUCCAGCACUGCCUGGAGCUUGGACCCAGAAACUGAAAAUUUGAAAUCAUUUGCUGAAACAGAUGAGAAUAAGGUUUUUAAAAACCUAUUUAAAAUAAUCUGAGAAUCAUGCAGGUGAUAACAUCCCGAAAGCAGGGAAACGCAUUCCGAUCCACAAAGCCCAUCUCUUGUGGUAAAAUGCUUGAUUCAGCACAGGAGAUUUGCACAUGGAAUAACUCAUGGCAUACAGAUAUGUCAAAGUAAUUUCACCUGCUUGAUUUAGAAUGAAGGCAUUGUAAUUUGGGACAGCUAAUGUUGCUGCUACAACACCUGCAUGUGGAGGAAUGUCUUUCUUUCCAGUGCUAAGCUUGGCACAACAAAAUAUCUGUGGAAAUCUGAGGGGCAGAACUUGCUGCUGUCAGCUCAUGAGUUCAACAGUGAAUAUUGCAAUAAAGCACAAAAUCCAAUGCUUUCAUAUAAGUUAUUUAUUAAUUGAAAAUGUCUUUUCAUCACAGUUUUAAAUCCAGAAAUUUCUGAACAUCACCAACAUUAUUAACAUAACUCAAAUGUGAGGAUUCAAGUAUCAAGAAUCACAGCUUUUGCUAUGAAAACAACUUUAAGAUUAUUCUGUGCUUACCUUAAUGACACAAACAUACUGUGCUGGAAUCCAACCACAAUCCAAUCUAGACAAAGGUAUUUUUCAACUUCAUUAUACAACCUAAUCAUGGUUUGUGCUUGUUAUCAGGCAAAGUUAAAAAAGAAAAAAAUACAAAAAAAGUAAACAUUGACUCAUUAAUUGUAACAGUGCUAUUCUGAGAAAUUACAUCCAGGUUUUAAAUUCACCAAGGCAUCAGAUCACUAAUUUUGCAAUGAAGAGAGCAGCAGACUAAAAAAUUAAUCCUCCAAUUGCGGUGUCCCAAGAAGUACAUCUACAUUCAAGAUUGCACUGUCACACAGCAGUAAAGAAGUUUAACCUUGAUCUGAUAGUGCAAGCAUGUUUUAAGUCUGUGCAAUUGAAGUGGCAGAUAUUCCAACCUGUGUAUAGUAUCUGUAAGUGUGCCUUCAUCACUGUACUACUGGUAACCAGGCACCAAGUUACUGCUUUUUUCUGCUGAGCUGCAUUUUGCAAGGAGUAAAAAUGUAUCAGCAGCCAGAGCUGGCAAAAGACUCCCUGUUCCACGACAUCAUGCUCCCAGAUUCAGGCAGCCUGUGCACUCAGCAGUGCAAGCUCAGAACCUGUCUAGAAAGAAUUGUCUUGCAAUUUAUGUGGGUAGAAUUAAGCUGUCCCUUUUGUUCUUCAGAGAAAACAAAUGUGCUACAAUUGAUAACAGUAUCCAAUCCUUACCCUUGUAAAUGUGCAUUCUUGUUGCAUUGGAAGUUUUUGAUGUGCAGUCAAGUGUCCUUUACUUGUCCUUCAGCUGGCAGGACACACACACACACACACAUACCAUUGAAAUGAUGUUUUGUUUUUCUUUCUUACUGAGGAAUCUCACAUCUUUUAAAGAUGUCAGUUAAAAUAGUGGAAUAAUGGGUAAAAGUCUCGCCUACAAUUACUUUUGUUUAAAUCCUUAUUAGAUUGCAAGUUCCCCAAGUUAAAAAAAAAUGAAUAUACCUUUCUCAAUAAGGGGUAUUUGCUUGUGUGACCAUAAAUACAAGGCGUGAAGCCCAUC